CCUACGGGUGGCUGCAGUAGGGAAUAUUGCUCAAUGGGGGAAACCCUGAUGCAGCGACGCCGCGUGAGUGAAGAAGUAUCUCGGUACGUAAAGCUCUAUCAGCAGGGAAGAAAAUGACGGUACCUGACUAAGAAGCCACGGCUAACUACGUGCCAGCAGCCGCGGUAAUACGUAGGGGGCAAGCGUUAUCCGGAUUUACUGGGUGUAACGGGAGCGUAGACGGCAGCACAAGUCUGGAGUGAAAUCCCGGGGCUUAACCCCGGAACUGCUGUGGAAACGGGGCGGCUGGAGUGCAGGAGGGGUAAGCGGAAUUCCGAGUGGAGGGGUGAAAUGCGUAGAUAUUAGGAGGAACACCGGUGGCGAAGGCGGCUUACUGGACUGUAACUGACGUUGAGGCGCGAAAGCGUGGGGAGCAAACAGGAUUAGAUACCCUAGUAGUC
rnacentral:rRNA from 1 species